GCUUACGGCCACACCACCCUGAGAAUGCCCGAUCUUGUCUGAUCUCAGAAAGCAAGCAGGGUCGGCCCUAUUUAUCCGUUAUCU
rnacentral:rRNA from 1 species